GUAUUGAUUGCGUGUGACCGCAAAAACAAAACAUUCUAGACUGUAUCGAAUUUUGUGUGAAAACGUGAGCCCUCCUGCAAAGGGGGGACCCGCGCGGUGAUGCACAAAGGGGUGAGAUGGAUUUUGUGCGAGAGCGCUCGGGCGUGCACGACCUUUGAAGGUCAGCGACAGCCCUCGCACCUCGGUUGUACGAUAAUGAUCCUUCCGCAGGUUCACCUACGGAAA
rnacentral:misc_RNA from 1 species